UUUGGUUACAUACCGUAUGCUAUUGCUGAAAACAUCACAUCGAAGAUUAUCGAUCGUGAAUAUUAGAAAAUCGAUCGAAAUCCGCCGGAUUCUGCAACUGCGAAACAAUAAGCUUGACAAUGUUGCAUGGAAUUGUUGGUAUUGUUUCACACGUAAGAUCGAAUAAUAUUCAAUAUUCACGACAAUUCUUUUUUAUUAUUCCAAUAUCGUAUAAGCUAUCUGUCAAAAGCAAUCACGCAGUGUUGCAAGCCGCUCUGUAUUGCAUAUGGUAUUGCAGGAAUGCGAGAAUCGAUACAUCUCGCGCAUCGACCUUACAUCCUUUGCUAGUUAUCGAUUAAUAGCAGUGGGAAAUCGAAUAUCGAGUAACGUACAGAAGCAUCAUACGAUAGCCAUCUUAACUUUUUCGAUCUAGUAUAUCGUGUAGUUUCUAGAUUACGACUAGUUGGGUUUAGUUAAUCGAUAGAUAAUUAAUAGGUAUUGAUAAGUGAUAAAGGGAAAUGUAAAAAGUGACAUUUUGCAGUGAAUUACUUGUACAUAAAGCUAUAAUAGAAUAUGCGUUCGAGUAGUUUUGACGUGCGCGCGCGUUCCCUCGAGAGAGACCAGGAGAACUGAGUUCGAGCAGUCGUCUCGUGGAAAAAGUGACCAUUUAAUAACUCAGGAUCGAAUUAUGAUAUCAAGGCAGUGUUUUAAUGGUCGGGUGGCGCUUACCAUGGUCGGUGAUUCGUCAAGCACGCAUUCGCCUUGUAGACACCCGGUAGACGAGCAACUACCCACCACAUCGCCAGUUGAAUCGACAACGAGAGAGUUAAUUCACGUCUGGUUCGAUGAACUUCUGUCAAUCGAACGCUGUCAUCUGAGUACUCGGAAUGCGAAGUCCUGGUUUUGUGGAAUUCCACGGGCUGAGACUCGCAGAGGACCAGAGGAGUUUAUUGAAUAAAUCAAGGUCAAGCGAAUGAAAGAGCGACGAGGAGGGCCGAGGCAUCGGCCGGGAUUCUGUCGUGGCGCAGAAAAAUCAAAUUAAACAGCCGCUUUUAAGUCGAAUUAAAACGAAUGCGCUUAAUUAAAGCGGCCUGUGCCGCUCAACUAAAGGAGUUUUAUUGACGGCAACCGAGUCUCCUUUGUCGGUGCCACCGUGUACCCUUUCAUUAUUACGUUAAAAGAUGCCCGCGACUUUUUGGUUUUGCAGCAAAUAACGCUCUAUUUUUCUCUCCGUUAAAGACAGCCUGGUUUUUUUCCGAUUUUUCAACCCGACUUCUCUGUUUUUCAAUGUUUCCUUUCUUUGUGAUUUCGAGACGCGUUUCAGGAUCCAGCUUCUUCGUAGCCGUGUUUUUUGCUCCUUUCAUUCUUACGGCUACGUGAAUCGGAGAUUUUUUGGAAGCGGUUGGAUGGUGAAAAAGAAACGAGCGUGAGAAAUUAAUUUACUGUUUUUGUUGCUUUUCUUUGUUAAUUGGAUUAGAGUAAAAAAAGCUUCAACAUAUUUGCUGGCGUUCUGUGUAGUUUUAUGGAAAUUCAUAUUUUCAUAGACCCAGUGAAAAAUAUGGAAUCUAAUGGUAGGACGUUAUUUCAUCCGCUGAAUGUUAUACAAGUAGCUACUGUGUAUUCGUUACUUUUUAUAUUUUCACUUGUCAUGUGUAUUUUCCAAUUUUUCAUUUCCCAUAAACGCGUAAAAAUCAGCCAUACGCGGUAACGAAGACGAAGAAGAAAUGUUUUCACUAUCGUAGUGCAUAAAAAUCCGCGGAGCAAAUGUUUAAAUAAAGCAGCUAAUACAGUUUGUGCAUUCUAGUUUUCGAUAUAGUGGAGCGCAGUUUCCGAACGAUUUAUUUUAAAUUCUACUUUAUUUUAUUACACUACCAAAGGGUUAGAUGAUAAAAUAAUUCGUUUCAUCGUAGCUGUAACGAUGCUCGUGGGCCAUGGUUUAUCGGUCAGAAAAAUGUGCAGACCCGUGACAAAAGGAGUCAUAACGGAACCGCGUUCGCAAGCCAAAGACGAGCACGUUAACGGUGUCUGAGGUUUCACCGCGCUAAAUACACACUUUUUCCCUCUCACUCGUCGCGUUAACGUCGAACCAACCGCGGACGACGACUCUUUUUCUUUUCUCUUACUCGACGAUGCUGUCUGCCGUGAAAAGAAGCAGCUACUCCAUCGUAGGGAUAAAGACGAGAAAGCAAAGAAAAAGCCACGGUUCUCGUUGCAGAGAAAAUCGGAAGAGGAUCGACGUAGAAGAUGAAUAGAAGGCGAGAAGCAGAGGUUCUCCCUUGAAACAGGGGGACGAUCUUGCCCCGUUCAUUGUGAGAAUUUCUAAUUGUUCGCCAAUGUUCCGGACAUGGUGAGGGAAUUUUUCUCUGGGAAAAUGGUACGUGGCAUUAUCUGUUACCAUAUAGCGUAUGGAUUAUCGAGAAAUUAUAAUUUUUUAAAGAAAUUUACCAGUUGAAGAGCAAUGCGUAAGUUUCUGGUGUUUUUAUUGUGGUUGGCAAUUAGAAAUGAAAUUAUGUAAAUCAUUGGCGAUAUUAUGAAAUGUUAUAGAUUUGUUAAUAAUAGCAUCAUUGUUAGUAGUAUUAAUAGCUGUUAGUAAUAGGAUGAUGUAUUUUAACAGUAUAAUUGAUAUUAAAAGUAUGGUAAGGGGAUUUUUCUUUCGGUAUGGUGGACUAUGGCGACUUUUUGUUAGAAAAUUAUGUACGUAUCGUGAAAGAAUUACAAGUUUUCUAGGAAAUUGGGUGAUUUAAGCGCAACGUACAAAUCAUGCUUUUAGAAAUGAAAUUAUGUAAUUAUUAGUAAUUGUAUAAUUAUUGCAGGUAAUCGUGUAAUUAUUAGUAAUUAUUAGUAAUUACAUAAUUAUGCGGGUAAUUACAUAAUUAGUAGCGUCAUAUCAUAAUGAUAUUUCAAUGAUGUACUAUUAAAACGAUGCCUGUAAGUUAAAGAAGAACUAAAUAUUAAAAAAAAAAUAAAAA